rnacentral:rRNA from 1 species
CCCGCUGAACUUAAGCAUAUCAAUAAGCGGAGGAAAAGAAACUAACAAGGAUUCCCCUAGUAACGGCGAGUGAAGCGGGAAGAGCUCAAGCUUAAAAUCUCCGUGCAAGUUUUGCGCGGCGAAUUGUAGUCUAUAGAGGCGUGGUCAGCGCGGGCGCUUGGGGCAAGUUCCUUGGAAGAGGACAGCAUGGAGGGUGAUACUCCCGUUCAUCCCUGAGCGGCUCGUGCGUACGACCCGUUUUCUUUGAGUCGCGUUGUUUGGGAAUGCAGCGCAAAGUAGGUGGUAAAUUCCAUCUAAAGCUAAAUAUUGGUGCGAGACCGAUAGCGAACAAGUACCGUGAGGGAAAGAUGAAAAGAACUUUGAAAAGAGAGUUAAAGAGUACCUGAAACUGCUGAAAGGGAACCGAAUCGUUUCCAGUGUCUAUAAUCCGUGGCAUAUUUCAUUGGCGAAUGUUUGCGUGCGUGUGCUAUGGCAGUGGCUUUUUUGGCUGCGCCUGGCGUGUGUGCUGUGAGUGUUUGCUGGUGCCCUGUGCUGCGGUGGGACGUCAAGGUCAGUUCGUAUGCUGCGGGAAAUGGCUGCCGAGGAGGUAGGGCUUACGCUCCGCGUUUGUCUGUUAUAUCUUGGUGGACGAGUCGUCGCGGUUGGGACUGAGGUGCCUACAACGUGCUUUUGAGUGGGUUUGUGUCUCCGUGUGCGCCGUGUGCGGAUAGCUUGCUAUGCGUGUGUGGUUGUGUGCGGAUUGAUGCAGGCUUUAACUUGUCGCCGUUCGGGACGUUGACGAAAUGGAGCGAUCCGACCCGUCUUGAAACACGGACCAAGGAGUCUAACAUGUGUGCAAGUGUUAGGGUGUGGAAACCCCAGCGCGAAAUGAAAGUGAAGGGCAGCGCAAGUUGUCUGAGGUAGGAAACGUUGCGGGCUUCGGUCUGCGGCGUGGCACUAUCGACCGAUCAUGAACCUUCGUGGUGAAAGAUUUGAGUUUGAGCACAUAUGUUGGUACCCGAAAGAUGGUGAACUAUGCCUGAGUAGGGUGAAGCCAGGGGAAACUCUGGUGGAAGCUCGUAGCGAUUCUGACGUGCAAAUCGAUCGUCAAACUUGGGUAUAGGGGCGAAAGACUAAUCGAACCAUCUAGUAGCUGGUUCCCUCCGAAAUUUCCCUCAGGAUAGCAGCAACUUUUUUACGAUAGUUUUAUGAGGUAAAGCGAAUGAUUAGAGGAUUCGGGGAAGAAACUUCCUCGACCUAUUCUCAAACUUUAAAUCUGUAAGACCUGCAGGUUUCUUAAUUGAACUUGUGGAUGUGAAUAUCAAGUUGCUAGUGGGCCAUACGGGGUAAGCUCGUCUGGCG